rnacentral:rRNA from 1 species
UUAAGCGACUAAGCGUACACGGUGGAUGCCCUGGCAGUCAGAGGCGAUGAAGGACGUGCUAAUCUGCGAUAAGCGCCGGUAAGGUGAUAUGAACCGUUAUAACCGGCGAUUUCCGAAUGGGGAAACCCAGUGUGACUCGUCACACUAUCAUUAACUGAAUCCAUAGGUUAAUGAGGCGAACCGGGGGAACUGAAACAUCUAAGUACCCCGAGGAAAAGAAAUCAACCGAGAUUCCCCCAGUAGCGGCGAGCGAACGGGGAGGAGCCCAGAGCCUGAAUCAGCAUGUGUGUUAGUGGAAGCGUCUGGAAAGGCGCGCGAUACAGGGUGACAGCCCCGUACACAAAAGCGCAUGUGCUGUGAGCUCGAUGAGUAGGGCGGGACACGUGGUAUCCUGUCUGAAUAUGGGGGGACCAUCCUCCAAGGCUAAAUACUCCUGACUGACCGAUAGUGAACCAGUACCGUGAGGGAAAGGCGAAAAGAACCCCGGCGAGGGGAGUGAAAAAGAACCUGAAACCGUGUACGUACAAGCAGUGGGAGCCCCACCACUAAGCCAGUGGUGAACUCCACAUACGCAUCCUUUGCUGAGGAUACGGUUAACGGAGCGAAAGCGACGUUCAACCUCAAAAGAAGCAGAGGGGGCUUAGUGGUGGGGUGACUGCGUACCUUUUGUAUAAUGGGUCAGCGACUUAUAUUCUGUAGCAAGGUUAACCGUAUAGGGGAGCCGCAGGGAAACCGAGUCUUAACCGGGCGUUAAGUUGCAGGGUAUAGACCCGAAACCCGGUGAUCUAGCCAUGGGCAGGUUGAAGGUUGGGUAACACUAACUGGAGGACCGAACCGACUAAUGUUGAAAAAUUAGCGGAUGACCUGUGGCUGGGGGGUGAAAGGCCAAUCAAACCGGGAGAUAGCUGGUUCUCCCCGAAAGCUAUUUAGGUAGCGCCUCGUGAAUUCAUCUCCGGGGGUAGAGCACUGUUUCGGCUAGGGGGCCAUCCCGGCUUACCAACCCGAUGCAAACUGCGAAUACCGGAGAAUGUUAUCACGGGAGACACACGGCGGGUGCUAACGUCCGUCGUGAAGAGGGAAACAACCCAGACCGCCAGCUAAGGUCCCAAAGUCAUGGUUAAGUGGGAAACGAUGUGGGAAGGCCCAGACAGCCAGGAUGUUGGCUUAGAAGCAGCCAUCAUUUAAAGAAAGCGUAAUAGCUCACUGGUCGAGUCGGCCUGCGCGGAAGAUGUAACGGGGCUAAACCAUGCACCGAAGCUGCGGCAGCGACGCUGAUGCGUUGUUGGGUAGGGGAGCGUUCUGUAAGCCUGUGAAGGUGGCCUGUGAGGGUUGCUGGAGGUAUCAGAAGUGCGAAUGCUGACAUAAGUAACGAUAAAGCGGGUGAAAAGCCCGCUCGCCGGAAGACCAAGGGUUCCUGUCCAACGUUAAUCGGGGCAGGGUGAGUCGACCCCUAAGGCGAGGCCGAAAGGCGUAGUCGAUGGGAAACGGGUUAAUAUUCCCGUACUUGGUGUUACUGCGAAGGGGGGACGGAGAAGGCUAUGUUGGCCGGGCGACGGUUGUCCCGGUUUAAGCGUGUAGGUGUGUGUUCCAGGUAAAUCCGGUUCACUUUAACACUGAGGCGUGACGACGAGGCACUACGGUGCUGAAGCAACAAAUGCCCUGCUUCCAGGAAAAGCCUCUAAGCAUCAGGUAACAUCAAAUCGUACCCCAAACCGACACAGGUGGUCAGGUAGAGAAUACCAAGGCGCUUGAGAGAACUCGGGUGAAGGAACUAGGCAAAAUGGUGCCGUAACUUCGGGAGAAGGCACGCUGACACGUAGGUGAAGUGAUUUACUCACGGAGCUGAAGUCAGUCGAAGAUACCAGCUGGCUGCAACUGUUUAUUAAAAACACAGCACUGUGCAAACACGAAAGUGGACGUAUACGGUGUGACGCCUGCCCGGUGCCGGAAGGUUAAUUGAUGGGGUCAGCGCAAGCGAAGCUCCUGAUCGAAGCCCCGGUAAACGGCGGCCGUAACUAUAACGGUCCUAAGGUAGCGAAAUUCCUUGUCGGGUAAGUUCCGACCUGCACGAAUGGCGUAAUGAUGGCCAGGCUGUCUCCACCCGAGACUCAGUGAAAUUGAACUCGCUGUGAAGAUGCAGUGUACCCGCGGCAAGACGGAAAGACCCCGUGAACCUUUACUAUAGCUUGACACUGAACAUUGAGCCUUGAUGUGUAGGAUAGGUGGGAGGCUUUGAAGUGUGGACGCCAGUCUGCAUGGAGCCGGCCUUGAAAUACCACCCUUUAAUGUUUGAUGUUCUAACGUGGACCCGUGAUCCGGGUUGCGGACAGUGUCUGGUGGGUAGUUUGACUGGGGCGGUCUCCUCCUAAAGAGUAACGGAGGAGCACGAAGGUUGGCUAAUCCUGGUCGGACAUCAGGAGGUUAGUGCAAUGGCAUAAGCCAGCUUGACUGCGAGCGUGACGGCGCGAGCAGGUGCGAAAGCAGGUCAUAGUGAUCCGGUGGUUCUGAAUGGAAGGGCCAUCGCUCAACGGAUAAAAGGUACUCCGGGGAUAACAGGCUGAUACCGCCCAAGAGUUCAUAUCGACGGCGGUGUUUGGCACCUCGAUGUCGGCUCAUCACAUCCUGGGGCUGAAGUAGGUCCCAAGGGUAUGGCUGUUCGCCAUUUAAAGUGGUACGCGAGCUGGGUUUAGAACGUCGUGAGACAGUUCGGUCCCUAUCUGCCGUGGGCGCUGGAGAACUGAGGGGGGCUGCUCCUAGUACGAGAGGACCGGAGUGGACGCAUCACUGGUGUUCGGGUUGUCAUGCCAAUGGCACUGCCCGGUAGCUAAAUGCGGAAGAGAUAAGUGCUGAAAGCAUCUAAGCACGAAACUUGCCCCGAGAUGAGUUCUCCCUGAGACUUUAGGUCUCCUGAAGGAACGUUGAAGACGACGACGUUGAUAGGCCGGGUGUGUAAGCGCAGCGAUGCGUUGAGCUAACCGGUACUAAUGAACCGUGAGGCUUAACCUU